UUUGCUACUCACUGUAUCAUUACCGGUAUUUCAUAUCUUAAAUAUAAUAUUAUUUAUAUCCACAUCCUAAUUUUGGUGGUGCUUGCCAGAGCAAUUAUGUUGCGCUAUUCAAUCGUGAUAAUUCAACCACAAUAAGCCUUCACUUUCCAUGCGAUUAAAUAAGAGCAUAUUUAGUUGAUGGGAGUUGGAUUUUGAAAUGAAACUAGAAAUUAGUGACUCC
rnacentral:lncRNA from 1 species